GAUAUGUACCGAUUAUCAGGCUGUCUGCAUGUUGAUAUCGUAAAAUAUCAGCUGCGAGACAUAAUAUGAAGCUUUUUGUCGAGUAAGCGCAGCGAACGAGAUCAAAAAGCCUUCAUUUUAUGUCGAGCAGCUGAUAUUUUACAAUAUUAAGGUGGUACCCAACACUUUAACUAAAAUAAAUUUGGCUCGUUUAAUUUUCUUAAAAUUUUGACAAAGUAUUUACUUUGACCCUUUUACAAAAUUAUAAGAAUUUCAAAACAUUUGAACCAACCGUUUUAUCAGAAAAAUUACACUGGUUAUAUAGCAGUUUGACAAACACUUAUUUUGAUCAUUGAGAAGCUUAAUAUUCCCUUAACAACACAACGUAAUUAAAACGUUUAGCUGAUUUUACAGAGUUAUCUCCCUGUAGUGUUAGGUACCACCUUAAUAUGCCGAUAACCUGAUAAUCGAUUUAUUGGGCUGUAUUUGCGUCUUUUGGAAGUAUUGUCUUAGUUUCACCAGCAACCGGAAGUUGACUUGAUAAGUUCGGGUCAAACUUAUCAACGUCGGUUCAAACAUUAUGACGUCGCUGAUAUGUCCGGGUCAAAGUUAUUAAGGCCAGGUCAACGUAUUUGACGUCACAAAGCCGUGAUAUGGAGUUUUAUUAAGAGCUGAGCAGAUUGAUAUAGACAGUUGGACGACCGAUAAUUAUUUUUAUUUCA
rnacentral:lncRNA from 1 species